rnacentral:lncRNA from 1 species
UUUUCCAUAAUCAGAUCGUAACCUUUUUUAGUUUAACAGAAAAUUGGUUUUCAGUCAAUGUUACAAAAGAUAAUCUUAAUCAUAGGUUUAUUUUGUAAAUAGAAUGUUUUCAAAAAAUAGGAGUCAAAAUAAAAUGUUUUCAAAAAAUAUUGUUAUUUCAUUAGGUUUUUCAAUUUUUAAUAAUUAAUUAAUUGGUUUUGGCAAUAUUGGGAGGGGCGGGGGAAUAAUUUUUAUCACCACUUCGUAGACAUUAAAAACUUUCAUUAUUCGGUCACAAACAUACACCCUUGGCCACCUUGAUCACCAUAGUAGAGAGCUUAACACACUUCUUCAUCAUCACUUCUUCCUUUCUUCCAAUUUUCCGAGUUUCAAUUGGAAAACUCAUCACUCAUCAACAAUCAUCACAACUAUGGGUUCUCCAGCCUGCACCUUUUUCCUCACAUUCUCUUCUUUCUCCAACACUUAGAGCAAUCA